AUCUGUGGAUUAAAGGUGGCUUUUGGGCUGUCGCAGAUGGAUGAGCCUGCGUUGGAUUAGCUAGUUGGUGGGGUAAGGGCCCACCAAGGCUACGAUCCAUAGCUGAUUUGAGAGGAUGAUCAGCCACAUUGGGACUGAGACACGGCCCAAACUCCUACGGGAGGCAGCAGUGAGGAAUAUUGGACAAUGGGGGCAACCCUGAUCCAGCAAUGCCAUGUGUGUGAAGAAGGCCUUAGGGUUGUAAAGCACUUUAGUUGGGGAAGAAAGCUUUGAGGUUAAUAGCCUUGAGGAAGGACGUUACCCAAAGAAUAAGCACCGGCUAACUCCGUGCCAGCAGCCGCGGUAAUACGGGGGGUGCAAGCGUUAAUCGGAAUUACUGGGCGUAAAGAGUCUGUAGGUGGUUUGUUAAGUCAGAUGUGAAAGCCCAGGGCUCAACCUUGGAACUGCAUUUGAUACUGGCAAACUAGAGUACGGUAGAGGAAUGGGGAAUUUCUGGUGUAGCGGUGAAAUGCGUAGAGAUCAGAAGGAACACCAAUGGCGAAGGCAACAUUCUGGACCGAUACUGACACUGAGGGACGAAAGCGUGGGGAUCAAACAGGAUUAGAUACCCUGGUAGUCCACGCUGUAAACGAUGAGUACUAGCUGUUGGAGUCGGUGUAAAGGCUCUAGUGGCGCAGCUAACGCGAUAAGUACUCCGCCUGGGGACUACGGCCGCAAGGCUAAAACUCAAAGGAAUUGACGGGGACCCGCACAAGCGGUGGAGCAUGUGGUUUAAUUCGAUGCAACGCGAAGAACCUUACCUGGUCUUGACAUCCUGCGAACUUUCUAGAGAUAGAUUGGUGCCUUCGGGAACGCAGUGACAGGUGCUGCACGGCUGUCGUCAGCUCGUG
rnacentral:rRNA from 1 species